rnacentral:lncRNA from 1 species
CUAAACCUUCUGCUACAUGCCAAUGAAGAUUUUAUCUUCGUUAAUAUUUCACAUUAUUCUCUUGUCUUUAUUCUCGGGAUUCUGCAGUGCUGCUGAUACAUUGAACUCAAAUGUCUUCAUCACCUAUGGUGAGACUUUGGUCUCCUCAGGCCAAAGCUUUGAAUUAGGCUUCUUUUCACUCAGUAAUUCUGGCAAAUGGUACAUAGGAAUAUGGUACAUGAAUUUCCCAAAAAUCAUUGUGUGGAUUGCAAACAGGGAAACCCCAUUAAGGAAUUCAUCUGGUGUUUUAACAGUUACCCCUAAUGGAGAUCUCGUUCUUCUGAAUGCUACGACUGGCGAUGUUUUCUGGUCAUCCAAUUGUUCUGAAAAUGAACCAGGCAGAGUGGCACAGCUAUUGGAAACUGGCAACCUAAGGGAAGAUGAUGCCACACAAAACUAUACAUGGCAAAUGUUGGGAAAACACCUCCCAAUGAAUGCCCAAAGAUCAAACUAAGUUGGCAAAGUGAAAAUUUCCAAAACACUUGAAGAACAAGAAAAUGAGGAAGAAAUGAUUUCCAAUGGAAUAUAUGAAGUUCAAUGUGUUUGGAUUACUUGAAC